AUUGAACGCUGGCGGCAGGCUUAACACAUGCAAGUCGAGCGGAGAUGAGGUGCUUGCACCUUAUCUUAGCGGCGGACGGGUGAGUAAUGCUUAGGAAUCUGCCAUUUAGUGGGGGACAACAUUCCGAAAGGAAUGCUAAUACCGCAUACGUCCUACGGGAGAAAGCAGGGGAUCUUCGGACCUUGCGCUAAAUGAUGAGCCUAAGUCGGAUUAGCUAGUUGGUGGGGUAAAGGCCUACCAAGGCGACGAUCUGUAGCGGGUCUGAGAGGAUGAUCCGCCACACUGGGACUGAGACACGGCCCAGACUCCUACGGGAGGCAGCAGUGGGGAAUAUUGGACAAUGGGGGGAACACUGAUCCAGCCAUGCCGCGUGUGUGAAGAAGGCCUUAUGGUUGGAAAGCACGUUAAGCGAGGAGGAGGCUACUGAGACUAAUACUCUUGGAUAGUGGACGUUACUCGCAGAAUAAGCACCGGCUAACUCUGUG
rnacentral:rRNA from 1 species